ensembl:lncRNA
GGGAAAUCAGGGUCUGCUGCAGAAGGGAUACAAAGAAUAAGACCCAGGUGAUGUUCAGCUUUUGACAUUGAAAAUUCAGCUUUUGCCUAGCCCUGAGUCCUGAAGAGUUUCUCCUAUAUAGUUUUCUAGUAAUUUUUGUCUAAAGUUUUUGUCUAAAAAAUCAGCUGACAAUCCCUAACAAUCAGUUGUUUGCCAGGUGAUUAGCUGCCUCUCUACCUUCCUCAUGGUCCAGUAAACUGCAGGAACGUAUGGAAUCAUUCACACUUAGCUUGUGCUGGGCCAGGCCGCGCAUGUCACCUUGGGUUUCGCUGGCCGCUGACAAGACCUCAAGCUGCCAAGAGCUGCCGCACUAUCCUUCCCCGGCUCCCAUUUUAAUGGAAGGGGUCGCUGGCAGGGCCAGGAGUUUAAGAGCAUGCCCCUUAUUCAGCUUUAUCUCAGCAAGUAUUCAUAGUUUUAGAGUUGCAAGGGACCUUCUCAAAGGGAACAGGCUAAAACCAAGGAAUGUUCAAUGAUUUUUUUCCAAUUUAUAGAAUCUUCAGCUUCUGACUCCCAGGCUGAGCUCUUUUCAUUGUCCCCACAAAGCACCAGCCAGUGGACUACUGGUCACUCCUCCUGGCCUGCCGCAGCCUCUGUCCCAUAACAGGGAGCAAACAGCUGUGGUGGCUCAGAGAAUCCGCCAGGUUGUAGCAAUUUAAUCCAGUGCUCUCAUGAGGAUCUGCUGCGAGCAUCUCAUGCAGGGGCUCCGAGCUGCCAGCUUUCCCUCCGAGCUGCCUUCAGCGUCCUGUCCUCGCCCUCACAGCCUAGGAGCAUAAGCUUCAUCAAACAGAAGAAAUUUAUGCACCAAAGAAUCUGAAUGUUAUCCAACAAAUAUUUUUUUGAGUUAUGUGCCAGCCAAGAGGUACUCAAUUUUUGGACCUACAAAAUGACUAUACACUCUCCCUUCUCUACUCGAUUUCAUAGUUUAGUGAAGGAUUUGGAUAUGAAAAUAGAUCAUUUAUAAUAUGAUUCUAUGUUGCUGGUAGAGGUAUCUACAGAGUGCUAGUGGAGAGCGAAGAGGAAACAGAAGGAAAGAAUGUAAAAAAUUUGAACUGAAUUUUCAAAGCUGAAUAGUAGUCUGGUCUACAAAAUGGGGUUGGGAUGAGUGGGAGGACAUUUCAAAGGGUGAGAACACAUGUGAAAAGGCAGAGUGAGCAAGAGCAUGCUGGCCCCCAGCCUGACUUAAUUCAAAUAUUCACUACACAGAAAAAUAUUACUAUUUUUGUUUGUUUCUUUGUUUGUUGUUGUUUAAUUCCUAAACUAUACAACUGAGCCAUAGAAUGUUUUCCUGAGUUAUUCUGAAACCUGGAAGGCAUUGCCUUUUUAUAAUUCUUUUUUUCUUCUCUACUGCUGUUACUAACUACACUCUCUCAUUUCAUAUCAAUUUUCUAUUUAUGUUUCCUGCUCCAUUUUCUCUUCCUUUCCUUAAGCAUAAACAACUUCUUAAUAUUAUGAUUUAUUUUUAAUUAGUUCUUCUAUUUCUCUCAUAAAAAUCCUUUGCCUGAGUCUUGCUAAUUUCUCAUCUAAUAUCGCAAAAUCUCUGUGGGCUUAUCCAUUUAAAAAAAAUUAUAAUCUUACCAGAAUGUGCUUCCUUAUGUGCAGUGUUUUAUUUAUCUAUUUCUGUUUAUACUUCAGUUUGUCUACUUCAUCUAUUCACCUUGGGCUCGAAGAAGAGACUAAUCUCUAUGCCAAAUUGUUCAUUUUCUAUAGCUUGGCUUUUGUCUAAAUUAAUUUCUUUUUCUGUCACUUGUGUAGAAUAAAACUGCACCUAUG